rnacentral:tRNA from 3 species
CCUGUAGCUCAGUUGGAUAGAGCAACGGCCUUCUAAGCCGUGGGCCGUGGGUUCGAGCCCCUCCAGG